GCGUUGAUAGUGCAAUUGGUUGAAGCACGUGCUUCUGGAAAGGGUGAGAUGCAGGUUCAAGUUCCGCUUGAUGUCA